CCCCGACUUUUGGGAGGGGCGCAUUUAUUAGAUAAAAGGCUGACGUGGGCUCUGCUCGCUGAUCCGAUGAUUCAUGAUAACUCGACGGAUCGCAUGGCCUUUGUGCCGGCGAGCCAUCAUUCAAAUUUCUGCCCUAUCAACUUUCGAUGGUAGGAUAGGGGCCUACCAUGGUGGUGACGGGUGACGGAGAAUUAGGGUUCGAUUCCGGAGAGGGAGCCUGAGAAACG
rnacentral:ncRNA from 1 species